AUGCCCUAGUAACGGCGAGUGAAGCGGCAACAGCUCAAAUUUGAAAUCUGGCCCUCGGGUCCGAGUUGUAAUUUGUAGAGGAUGAUUUUGGUUAGGUACCUUCCGAGUUCCUUGGAACAGGACGCCUUAGAGGGUGAGAGCCCCGUACGGUUGGAUGCCGAGCCUCUGUAAAUCUCCUUCGACGAGUCGAGUAGUUUGGGAAUGCUGCUCUAAAUGGGAGGUAAAUUUCUUCUAAAGCUAAAUACCGGCCAGAGACCGAUAGCGCACAAGUAGAGUGAUCGAAAGAUGAAAAGCACUUUGAAAAGAGGGUUAAAUAGUACGUGAAAUUGUUGAAAGGGAAGGGCUUGUGACCAGACCUUUGCCUUGCGGAUCAUCCGGUGUUCUCACCGGUGCACUCCGCUUGGUUGAGGCCAGCAUCAGUUUCGGCGGCGGGAUAAAGACUUCAGGAACGUGACUCCCCCGGGAGUGUUAUAGCCUGCUGUGUAAUACCGCCGCUGGGACUGAGGACCGCGCUUCGGCUAGGAUGCUGGCAUAAUGGUCAUCAGCCACCCGUCUUGAAACACGGACCAAGGAGUCGAACAUUUAUGCGAGUUUUUGGGUGUUAAACCCUCAAGCGUAAUGAAAGUGAACGGAGGUGAGAGCCCUUACGGGUGCAUCAUCGACCGAUCCUGAUGUCUUCGGAUGGAUUUGAGUAAGAGCAUAACUGUUCGGACCCGAAAGAUGGUGAACUAUGCGUGGAUAGGGUGAAGCCAGAGGAAACUCUGGUGGAGGCUCGCAGCGGUUCUGACGUGCAAAUCGAUCGUCAAAUCUGCGCAUGGGGCGAAAGACUAAU
rnacentral:rRNA from 1 species